GGUGGGGUAGCUCAGCUGGUUAGAGCAACGGAAUCAUAAUCCGUAGGUCACGUGUUCAAAUCACGUUCUCACUACCA
rnacentral:tRNA from 1 species